rnacentral:tRNA from 1 species
AGAAACUUAGGUUAACAUCAAACCAAGGGCCUUCAAAGCCCUCAAUGGGGGAUUAAAGCCCCUAGUCUCUG